UUUAAUUUUACGAUUUAGCUGGCUACACAGGGGCCUGUCUGUGGGGUAUGGCUGAAUUUGUCUGGGAGGACAGAUUCAGAGCACGCAGCUCAGAGGCACACAGAGAAGUCUGAGAGAGCGUGAUAAAGACUUUUCCUGAAUGCCCAGCUGGCACCUCUCCUUUCUCUUGAUUGUGGUGAUAUUUCAAACUCAUCUGCUGGAAUAUGUGCCGAUGUCAACAGCUGAACCCACCUUGAUGAAGUUUAUAAUGCAAAGACUAGACACCAGAAUACAGGACCUUGAGAAAGAAACAGAUUUUCCAGUGGCAACUCAUCUUUAU
ensembl:lncRNA